rnacentral:misc_RNA from 1 species
CGUCGUGAUGGCGGCGCUCCCGUUCGCACUACUGCUCGACCGGAUCAUGAACGGCAUAUCGCGGCCGCUCUUCGGCUGGAUCUCCGAUCAUAUCGGGCGCGAGAACACGAUGUUCGUGGCCUUCAUGCUCGAAGGUUGCGGCAUCAUCGCGCUGGCCACGUUUGGCUCUAAUCCUUGGGCCUUNNNNNNNNNNUGGGGCGAAGUCUACAGCCUGUUCAGCGCCACGUCGGGUGACGCCUUCGGCACCAAGAAUA